UGCUCUUUGAAAAAAUAAAUAUAAAGAGUACUGCCUGCCCAGUGACGUUGUUUAACGGCCGCGGUAUUUUGACCGUGCGAAGGUAGCAUAAUCAUUUGUUUUUUAAAUGAAGACUGGAAUGAAUGGCAAGACGGAGAUUUAACUGUCUCUUUUUUUAGUAUCUUGAAAUUAAUUUUCUUGUGAAGAAGCAGGAAUAAAAUCGUAAGACGAGAAGACCCUAUUGAGCUUAAAUAUAUUUAUUAGAUAACAAAGAAUUAAUUUUUACUAAUGAAAUAAAUAAAUGGAAAUUUAUAAAAAUCAAUUUAAUUAAUAAUAAUGAUAUUUUGAUUGGGGCAAUCAUGGAGAAAAAAAUCCUCCAUUAUAAUUUAGGAAAUUAAUUUUUUAAAAUAUAAAUAUUAUAAUUUUUAAAUGACCCACUUUUUGAGUGAUCAAAGGAACAAGUUACCAUAGGGAUAACAGCGUAAUUUUUUUGGAGAGUUCAUAUUGAUAAAAAAGUUUGCGACCUCGAUGUUGGAUCGGGAUAUCCUAAAAAUGCAGUAGUUUUUAAGGGUUGGUCUGUUCGUCCAUUAAAAUCCU
rnacentral:rRNA from 1 species